UAGGGAAUCUUCGGCAAUGGAUGAAAGUCUGACCGAGCAACGCCGCGUGAGUGAAGAAAGUUUUCGGAUCGUAAAACUCUGUUGGUAGAGAAGAACGUUGGUGAGAGUGGAAAGCUCAUCAAGUGACGGUAACUACCCAGAAAGGGACGGCUAACUACGUGACAG
rnacentral:rRNA from 1 species